rnacentral:rRNA from 1 species
UUAGGAAUCUUGCGCAAUGGGGGAAACCCUGACGCAGCGAUGCCGCGUGCGGGAUGACGGCCUUCGGGUUGUAAACUUCUUUUAGCAGGAAAGAAAACAAUGACGGUACCUGCAGAAAAAGCACCGGCUAACUCUGUGCCAGCAGCCGCGGUAAUACAGAGGGUGCAAGCGUUAUUCGGAGUUACUGGGCGUAAAGAGCGCGUAGGCGGUUUGAUAAGUCCGUUGUGAAAUCCCUGGACUCAAUCCAGG